rnacentral:lncRNA from 10 species
GAUCCUCCUUCCUUCCUGAGAACUGGGGUCCUUGCAGAUCCGCCAAGUCCAGAGGUGCCCAGUGGCCCUGCAUUUCCUUCCACCAGAGUCAGCUGAAUUCAGAUCAAAACUUAGAAGAACGUUCCUCCCUCCACGGGACUCAGCCCUGAGGCUGGGGUGGAGCUGGGGACCAGACCCAGUGGAACCCUCAUUGUUUAUCCUCUCUCAUCUCUGAUCUCAGGCACUCAGGUCCCAACCGUUCUCUUCCUAGCCUCUUUACUUCUAUGGAAAUCACUCAGACAUUGAGAGACCCCUGUUGUGAGAGGUUGGGAGACUCAAGCUCUACAAGCACAAGCCAAUCUCAGCUGAGGCUGAGCCUGAACUAUUCCUUGUGUCCCUGCAACAAUUCUCCUUCUCAGCACUGGCAAAUGAUGUUUGUUUCCCAAAAGCAAGGAACAUGUGAGGAGCAGAGUGAUAUUUCCACUUAGGACCAAACCUUCCAAUAGGUACAACUUCCCUCAUGCCAUUAGCCCUCCUUGAUCCAGAGAGGAGACAGCCAGGCAACUUUAGUCUCUGCAGGGCCUAGUCCUAAGGUGAUUGUGUAGGAUUUGGGAGAGGAAGGGGAGAGCUGACCACUCUGAUGUUACCCUGAGAUGGCUCCUGUGCCGUGACUGACUGUGCUGUGACCAGGAGACUCAGCUUACCUGGAGUGGGGCUGUAGGGACACAUGAGCCAAUUUCCUACCUUAGGCUGGCCAGAGGCUGGUUUGGGAGCAGGACUAGGUUUUGAGGGGUGCUAAAGCUUAAACAGUUUGAGAGGCCCUCUAAGAAUAAGAGUAUACAAUUAUGAGUGCAAAACUGCUAGAGUUCCUCCAGGGCCUGUGCCUGGUGGGUGGGGCAAGGGGUUCCCCAGAGACUUGAGCUUCAUAAGGACUCUGCUGUGUAUGGAAGUAGGGGGUAGGGGGAGAACAGGCAUCGUGUCUAGGUUGUGUGCACCAGCCAGUUAGUGCUGGUAGCAUGAGGCAGUUGAGGACAUCUGGGGCUGAGGGUCUUUCUGAGAGCAGCUGAUGGAGGAAAGGGAGGCCCUUGCAGAAGAAAAGUCUUUGCUGCUCAGGGAUGGGACUGAAAGGCUGAUUGUACAGAUUCCUGACCCCUUCAGAGCUGAUUCAGCACUUCUGCAUCACCUGAAGAAAGAGAAAGAGCGCUGGUGCCCCUUCUGCUUCUCCAGCCUGCUUUUUCUGACUGACCAUUCCCUACCCUGGUCACCCCUUCACCUGUGGCCACAGACCUCUCUCCAGUAGGACUUAUAGCUGGUUUCCCAUUGGCCAUGUGGCUUCCAUGAGAGCAUGCAUUCUCAAGAGUAAGCCCAACACUGUCUUUCCAGGAGGCUCUCCUCACCCUCACUCCCCACCCCACUUCCUGUACCUGGAAUGGUGUGGGGAACAGUACCUGGAAUGGUGUAUGGAAGAAGCCUGAUUAGAUGCAUGGAAGGAUGAAAAGAUGGAAAUCUUUAGCAGGUUCCUAUUGAAUGGAAGGAUCAGACACUGCCUCACAGCUGCUUCUGUAUUUAUCUUUCUUCUUGGCAAGUCUUGCUUUGAAUAGACUGCAAGCCCCCUGUAAGCUGGCUGUGUGUCCAUUGCAUUAUUGUUAAUCUCUCACAGCCUGGUAGAGGGCUGAGUGCUCAGAAGGAUCUGAGCAGGGCUGGUGGUGCAGCUGACUCCAUCAGUGGCUGCUGUUGACAUUUCUCUAGCAUGGGAAGACAGUGGACCCUCGGUGUGCAAGGGAAAGAUGGGCUGCCUCAGGCAUACAGGAAGCUGCUCUGGUUGCAGGUAUACUCCUAGAAGACUGUGGGGGUGUGGCAGCCAUCUCUGCAGGCACCAGGCAGGGGUAGCUAGGGGUCAGCCUCCCAUCUGUUUCUGCUCUUCUUAUCCUCCUGUUCAUAGCCAGCUCCCUUGAGAGCCUUAUUCAGGCUCCAUGAGGCUCAGUUAGAUUCUAGGGAAGCUUCUUUUUUCCCAUUGCAGAAGGGUCAGCAGUGGAGGACAAGAGGCCAAGUAGCCUCAGAAUAUUGGGGCUCCAGGACCCCAAAGGGAUGUUUCCCAACUGAUUCUCUAGGCCCAUAAACAGAUGGGUUCCCUGAGGGCCCUGCUCUGUGUCUGGGGGAAGGAAACACCCAGGACUGGUUGAAUUCCAGUGAGAACGAUGCUGCCGUUGAUUUGUGGUUUGACAGUCAAAAAUAAUCCAAGCAUUGCUUUGCAUGUGAUUUAUACAAGUGUCUUAAUUGGCAUCUUGAUUAUAUGAUUGCGUGAAGGGCUGUUUUCAAGAAGGUGUAUCUCUAAAUAGAAAAAAGAAGAAAUAUACAGCUGUGAAGUGUGCGUGAAGCCCCCCAGGAUCUAUGCCUUCCCUUUGCUUUUAUGCACUGACACCACAUUUUCCAGUUUCUGCCCCUAGACUGGACCUUUAGUGGGAAACAUUUCCCCAAAUUGCAUAAAUUUUUCCUGCAGACAUGGAGCUUGGUUUGCAGUUUUUCUCUGGAUCUGCUGCAUUUUUCUCUGUUACACAAACUUAGUGAUGUGGUCUCUCCUAGUCUGAUUACAGCUAAUUAUUUUAGAAAUAUAUUUUAAAGGCAAGUGAUCUUAACUUUAUGGCUAAUCCAAUGGAGAAGAUCUAAGAAAGACCUGAAAAUCAUAAAAUGUUCCAGAACAUUAUAUUUUAUGCAGUCCAGAAUGUGACACAUGGGGUCUUUAAUAAUUCACUGCUUGUUAACAUUAAACAACUGUUAACAUGCUCAAAUAAUUAGUUAUGCUUGCUUGACAUGUUUGCAUCUUUAAUAAUUGAUGCAUUUAUCUUAAUUACUAACAGUAUUAUGGUCGUAAUAUGCAUCUUUUUUCUAUCUUAGAAUUUUAACAAAAACUGACUUUUUGCCAAAAAUGAUUAUGCUCUAAGUUUUAAUUACUCAUUGUAAUUAAAUUGCAAGCUGCAGUAUUUUACUAAAAUAUCUUUCACAAAAAUAUUUAAUGGAAAAGAGGUGAUUUGUUGUUUAUGUAGCCAAGUUAGUAAAUAUUUCAUAAGUUUGAUAUUACCCUUUCAGAGUGGAUAUAAAAUAGCAUUACUUUCAAGAUAUGAGUCAAUUUAAAAGUCUUCUGUAGCUUAAGAUUUUUCUACCAUUUCUACUCAAAAUGUCAUUCCCCCGCCAAUCCACCACCACUAUAGAAAUCUGGUACCACUCUUUGUGUGGAAGAGAAAGGUUUCUUUAACCAGCCAGGCAAGUAGGAACUUGAACCUCUGUUUCAGGAGGUGGUGUUGAUUGGAAACCAAUAGAAAAGCGAUGUCCACACUUUCCCUCCAUUUCCUUUCUCCAGCCCUGUUUAUGUAAGCUAGUCCAGAAGACCAGCAUUGGGGUGACUGUUUGAUUAAAAUGCACCUUAAUAAGGACGCAGACAUAUGUCCCAUUGUUUAAGCUUUGUCCAGGUGCUCAUGCAUGACUGGAAGCUUACUAUUGAUUGAGA